GUGGGAUACGGCGACAAGGCACCGCUUUCCACGUGGGGCAAACUUGUGGGCUCCAUGUGUGCUAUUGCUGGUGUCCUAACUCUUGCACUUCCGGUUCCGGUCAUAGUGUCCAAC
rfam:Nematostella vectensis strain CH2 x CH6 NEMVEscaffold_69_Cont9948, whole genome shotgun sequence.